rnacentral:rRNA from 1 species
ACGACGCUGGCGGCGUGCUUAACACAUGCAAGUCGAACGGUAAGGCCCUUCGGGGUACACGAGUGGCGAACGGGUGAGUAACACGUGGGUGAUCUGCCCUGCACUUCGGGAUAAGCUUGGGAAACUGGGUCUAAUACCGGAUAGGACCACGGUCUGCAUGGAUUGUGGUGGAAAGCUUUUGCGGUGUGGGAUGGGCCCGCGGCCUAUCAGCUUGUUGGUGGGGUGAUGGCCUACCAAGGCGACGACGGGUAGCCGGCCUGAGAGGGUGUCCGGCCACACUGGGACUGAGAUACGGCCCAGACUCCUACGGGAGGCAGCAGUGGGGAAUAUUGCACAAUGGGCGCAAGCCUGAUGCAGCGACGCCGCGUGGGGGAUGACGGCCUUCGGGUUGUAAACCUCUUUCAGCAGGGACGAAGGGUGACUGACGGUACCUGUAGAAGAAGCACCGGCCAACUACGUG